UACGAAGGGAGCUAGCGUUGUUCGGAAUCACUGGGCGUAAAGCGCACGUAGGCGGAUGUGUCAGUCAGGGGUGAAAUCCCGGAGCUCAACUUCGGAACUGCCUUUGAUACAGCACGUCUUGAGUCCGAUAGAGGUGGGUGGAAUUCCGUAGUGUAGAGGUGAAAUUCGUAGAUAUUCGCAAGAACACCAGUGGCGAAGGCGGCUUACUGGUCCGGUUCUGGACGCUGAGGCGCGAAAGCGUGGGGAGCAAACAGG
rnacentral:rRNA from 1 species